UACACACCGCCCGUCACACCAUGGGAGUUGGUUUUUACCCGAAGACGGUGCGCUAACCAGCAAUGGAGGCAGCCGGCCACGGUAGGGUCAGCGACUGGGGUG
rnacentral:rRNA from 1 species